rnacentral:rRNA from 1 species
UACGAAGGGGGCUAGCGUUGCUCGGAAUUACUGGGCGUAAAGGGCGCGUAGGCGGGUCGUUAAGUUGGGGGUGAAAGCCCAGGGCUCAACCCUGGAAUUGCCUUCAAUACUGGCGACCUUGAGUAUGGCAGAGGUGUGUGGAACUCCGAGUGUAGAGGUGAAAUUCGUAGAUAUUCGGAAGAACACCAGUGGCGAAGGCGACACACUGGGCCAUUACUGACGCUGAGGCGGCGAAAAGCGUGGGGAGCCAAACAGGG